UGGUGGAGUGAUUUGUCUGGUUAAUUCCGUUAACGAACGAGACCUUAACCUAUUAAAUAGUUGCACGAACUUGAAUCAUGCGUCGUGCGUUCACGCGUACGUCCUCCAUGGUUCUAUCGUUCAGUGAAAACUUCUUAGAGGGACUCAUAGCAUGUAUAGUUAUUGGAAGUUUGAGGCAAAAACA
rnacentral:rRNA from 1 species